UAAAGUACCCCUUAGCGGCAAAUGCAAAUAUAUACUUACUAUAAUAUGUCUUAAGCAUCUCAACUUGAAUAAAACAUCAGGAAUUCUUGGUGCUCCAUUUUGGAGGUAUAACGUGUGUAAAUUCUUCAACUUGCCAAUAGAUGGUGGCAAGAUGAUAUCUCCAAAACACAUUAACCUCAAAUACCUCAAAUGAUAUAGAUCACCAAUUACACUUGACACAUGCCACUUGGACACAUUCUUUCUCACAAGAUUCAACACCUUUAAGAAUUUGAAAUUAUUGCAUUUUGAAAUGUGCAAUUCUAUCAAUUUUUCAUUUUGAAAGAGCAACAGAGAACGUAAAUUUUGAUGUUUUCCCUUCAAAAAAACAUACCUUUUACUAGGAUGAAUAGCAAUUCUUCGCGUCAUAGAUGUUGUCAAGGUCACAUGAAGAGAAUUACCAUCGUUUUCAAUCAAUGAUGGCUGAAUAAUUCCCAAGAAAUUCUCCUCUUGAGCUUUUAGCACACACAAGUCCCUCAAGAGAUCAUGUAUUUGAAAUGUUUUCACAAUUAUUCCUGUAUGGUCCCUCUUGCCAACUUGAACCAAACAUCUAUCUAUUAGCUCUUCUAGAUAUUGUUCAGCUACAUCCUCCAUCCGCAUUCCCACGCUUUCAAAUGAUGGUGAAAUGAAACCUUCAGCAAUCCAUAAUCGAAUGAGUUCUCCUUUUGAGAUCACCUUAUCUUCUGGAUAAUGACCGAGAUAUAGGAAGCAUGGUUUUAAAUGAAAGGGCAACUCAUUGUAGCUUAAAGAUAAAAUCCCAUUCACUCCACCAUAAUGAUGAUCUUGUUGUUGGAACUUGUUUAACUGUGCAUUAAUGUUUCUGUGAACCAUCUCCCACUGAGCUCGUGACUUUUUGGUUGCUAGCAAGCCUCCCAACACAGCAAUUGCCAAAGGUAGACCUCCACAUCUUUUCACCAUCUCUCUUCCUGGCAUUUCCAAUGCUUCUGGACAAACAUGAGACUCUGUCUUGUUUUCUGGGAAUGCUUUCAUUCUAAAAAGCUUCCAACUUUCAUCCUCGGUAAGAAAUCGAACCUCUACUGGGGAGUUGCAAGGAUCGGCAUGCAAUGCCAAGUCCUUGUGGCGUGUUGUGAAUAAAAUUUUGCUCCCCUUUCUUCCUCGUGGAAAAGCAGGUUUAAAAUUGUCCCAAUCUUCACUUCUCCAGAUAUCAUCAAGAACCACCAAAUACCGUUUUUCUUUCAAGACAUCAUAAAGCCUUUUCACCAACUCAUGCUCUUUCAGUUUAUCGAUUAGCUCCCUUUCUUCUUUAGAAGGAGAGAGAAGUUUUAAGAGGAGAUCAUGCAAAACUUCUCUUGGCAUACACUGUUGAGAUAUAAAAGCCCAAGCACAACAAUCAAAAUGUCGUUUCACAUCAACGUGCUUAUAAACCUUUUUUGCCAGAGUGGUCUUACCUAUGCCCCCCAUGCCGACUAUAGAAACAACGACAUGAAGUCUAUCUUCUUCUGUCAUCAGCUGAGCCAAAACCUCAUUUGUGAUAUCCUCCAAGCUAACAACAUCCUCUUCCUCAACAUGUGAAUAUGUUCUCCUUAACCGCUGCUGCAUCUCCGAAAUAGAGCUAGACCCCUCUCUUCCAGAUAUCUGAUUAUAAGCUGGAAGUUUCUUAGAAAUGCUUUCAAGCUCAGUCUGGAUUGCUUUGACCUUCUUUCCGAUUUUGUGCAAAUGAAAAGGCUUGGUGAAUCUCUUGAUAAUUCCGUAAAAGCCUCCUUCAUGUGCGACUUGAAGAAUGAAGUCGUCAAUAACAUCUUCUGCUUCAUAAGCAAGAUCUCUGAUUUGUCUCACCAAAGUGCGGUUAAGCUUAUUUUGAUCUUGCCUACUGUCUGCAUCCUCCAAGGAGCUCUUCAUCCGCUCCAGUUCAGCCUUGAGGCCCUCCACUUCGUCACGAACUCCACGCAGGAAAACAGCCUCAUGAAUGAGUAAAUCCGAUAUUCUUUCAAUAGCUAAGGACACAAUAGCAUCUGCCAUUUCUCCUGCUGAUUGAAAUUACUCUUCUUUUUUCAAGAUUUCAAACUGAUCCGCCUGUUUCUUGUACAUGAAUUAGCUUUAGCUGGUAGCUAUACUUGACUAAAUUGAUACCCUUUUCUCAUUGCUUUUGUUUGGGUUUCGAUUUUUCUAUUUGUCUUUAUCAAAAGGUGUGGAAGCCUGUUGUCUAUUUGACAUUGGACAAGAAAAGCAAAAGGAGAUGGAAUCUCUUUCCUUACUUUCUUGUCCACUAGUAAUUAUUGAAUUCAAUCCCAACUUGCACUGUGGGUGGAUUAAUAUCCCCACCCUGAGGAUAAUUAUCGAAUAGAGAAUUACUCUGUUUUAAGAAAGUCCAAUACUAGGUUACCUGUUAUUGGUGUUUAAAUGAAGUGAUUUAAUCUGAGCCAUGAGCCCGGAAUGGAGAUAACAAGCAAAAUUGCUUUAGCGUUUUUACCGUUUGUGAACUGCAAAUAGGCACUUGUCAAAGAGUGAGAAAACAUAAUGCAAGAAAUUAACCAUGUGGGUAAAGACUCAAUAUAUUUUAUAAUUAUAUUAUAUCAUAUUAUCAUGCCAUAAAAGAUCUAUUAUAGUGUGGGCUACACCCACAUCUUUUAAAAACUAAAAAAAAAAAAAAAUCAAUGCGUAGAAGAUUUAAUAAAAUGAUUGCUGCUUUUGUCAAGCUGAGAGGAAAUAUGGAGGAAGCUAACAUGAAGCAUGUUCUGAGUUCAAGAAGAUAUAUAUAUAUAUCCAGUGAAUUUUUUGUUAUUAGUACAAAAUCUUAAGCACUUAAUGUUUAUUUAAAUCCUUAAUUGUUCAUUUAAUGAUAUUUACCAUUAUCAUAUCAUUAAAAAGUGAAAUUAUGCGUUAUCGUAUUAUAAAAUAUUUAUUCUGUGUUUCUUUUGUCAACUCAGCAGCACAAACCCAAAAGCUUCAAUAACUCAAAACAAUGUGGAAGCCCUGACUUUGAAUACCAUACACAAGUUGCCUAAGAUAGACAUUUCAAUUACACAUUGUCAAUAUCGGCAGCUCAACCACUUGUUUUUAGUUAUAAAUUCAAAGACCUGAUAAGUUCCUUUUUGAGGUAAAAUUUGUUAAAAGAAUCGAAAACUUGAAUUAAAUCUAAUAAGUUUCUUUCUAUUUUUCAGUCAUUCGCUAAUAAAAUAAAUGAUAGGGGGAAAGCAUAUAUUAUUUUUAAUUAGAUAAAAAAAAUUAGAAGACAUAGGGUAAAAUAUGGAUUUAAUUAAAAACAAUUGAAUUGAUAAGAGUGUAAUUUAAAUUUGCUUUUUAGGGUUACAUGGUCGAAUUUGAUCAAGUAAACCACAGUCUUUCCCGGUUACUAAGUUAUAAAUCCAUAGGGCUUUUUUGCUUGACACUCAGCUUACUGCCAUCCCUGCUCUAGCAAAUCAGUGGCAAACUUCCCAAGACAAUGAAACAUGCUGAGAAUUCUUGGGAGUUUCACAGAUCAAAUCUUCACAUUUCAUGCUCAAAAUAGAAAACCAAACAUUAAUAUUUUUUAUUUUUUAUUUAAUUAGUUAUGAUUGCCAACAUUUAUAACCAUAUUUAAAGAAAACUCCAAAGAGCUUCCCUGCUUGACACUUGCAAUGAUAUUGCUUGAAAGACAAAAUCAACUAUAAAGCCCAAAUCCAACAGCCAUGAGAGGUGAAAUUAUAUCUAUACAGAUUUAACUAUUUGAUGUCAAUCUCACUUUAUAAAUUUAUUAAUAAUAUAAAAAGAAAAUUCUUAACAACUAAAUCCAUUAAAUCCAAAAAACGAGUUUGCUUACUUACAUAUCAGUAUUUUUUUUAUGAUAGCCAUUACACAAAUCUCAUAAAAUUUUCAAACUGAGUAUUUUCAAAGUUUUUUACAUCAUUCAACAUGUUUUCUUUUAAAUACAUAUAAAAUUUGACAUUAUAGGAAUAUCUCAUUUCAAGUCUAUUUUAUCAUCUAAAAUUUAUACACAAGAGAAAAAAGUUAAGAGAAAAAUAAGAAGCAAAAAGAAAUACUAUAAUUUGUAUAGUUACACUCUUUUGCUUCAUCAUCAGCAAACAAGCACGUAAUUGAUUAUACAACUUCAGAUCGUUAAAUCAACUUGAUUAUGAAAAAAAAACAAAGAAAACACUUACUUGCAUCUGAAUACCCUAUUUAAACUAAUAAAUAAUCUCAUGUAAACUUUUUACAAUAGGUUGGACAUUGAAAAUUACGAAUAAUAAAAAAGGUUUGUUAUAUUUAAAGGAAGUCUCAAAGGAUUUUUGGCUUGACACUUAAUAGGGUUUUUGGUUGGACACGUGGUUGUUGAGGCAUGGGCUUGAGACCAAAUGGGAUUGGUUUAUGGUUGGGUUUUUAAGCGUGAGCUUGAGGUUUGGGGCUGAGUUUGGAUUAGAUUUUUCUUUGACUUUUUAUACUUAAUUAUUUAUAAAAAUUAAUUUUUCUUUAUUCCAUUAUUUAUUACUCCCAUAUCAUUUUUCAGUGCUGAAUGUAACUAAUGUAAAUUGGUAUAUAUCAGCUAGCUAAAAUAAGGUUUUGAGAGAGACUGAGUUACAACAUAUUCUAUUUUUCAAGUGUUAAAUGUAAUUAAUGUUAAGUGGUGUAUAUCAGUUAGCCAAAAAUAGAGUUUUGAUAGAGAUUGAGUUACUACAUAUUUUAUUUUUUAGCGUUAAAUGCAAUUAAUGAAAAGUUAUGCAGAUCAACUAGUUAAAGAUAGAAUCUUAAGAGAGAUUGAAUACUACAUAUUCUAAUAUAAGUUUUAAGAUUUGUUUUAAGAUUUUGUUUUAUCGUGAAAAUGUUUAUUGGUGUUUUUUUGUAUCGAAACACCACUACAAAUACCACAAUGAUUGCUACAAUAACAAUAGUUAUAUAUUUUGUAAAAUAAUAUUUAUAAUAAUAUAAUUACUAUUACAUAUCUAUUUUACAAAGUAUUCUCAACUCAAUUAAAAAAAAAUUACCAUCUCGAACACAUCGCACAGGCAACAAACUAGUAAUAAAAGAAAGUGAUGUCUCUAAGUCAUAUAUCACUACAAUUGUAGCUUAUUGUUUGGGUUAGAAAAUUUUCAAUUGUUUUUUAUUUGAACAUUUAAUGACAAUUUAUAAUCGAAUCAGAAGAUGAUUUUUCCUUUUCUUUUCUUGUAGAAUUUGGUCAUAAAGUCACAAGUCAAGCACAAUCUUUCCAAGCUACAAGUUGUAACAUAUUCUAUGGGUUAAAAAAUUUAAUUGGUUUUCUAUUUCUGCAUUAAAAUGAGAACUGAUAAUCGAAUCAGAUUUUUGUUUAUUUUUCUAUUAUAUAAGAAAUUGGGAUGUCAGAAAAUUUUGGCCAUGUCAAUUAACAAAUUGGAUGCCCCUUAUUUUGGGUCAUUAAUCAUAUUACCAUUUGUCAAUUAUUAUGGAAAAGAAAUUGAAACUGUGAUUUUUCCUACAUUUUUAUCCAAUUGGAAGUGGGAAUUGAAUCCCAUAUUACAAAGAAAGAUCAUAAUGAAUAGUAUUUCUUAAUAAAAAAAUUGAAAGAGCUACCUAUAUAAGGAAUCUUAGAGAGGUACAAUAAAUUUAUUGUAAUUCAAAUGCAAUCAAUAAAAUUAAUGAUAUGAAUAAUAUUCAAUGUAGAUUUCCGCAAAAAAAUAAAGUUCAAUGUACAAUAAAUAAAAUUGAUUGAUAGUUUACUGUUAAUGAUAUGAAAUUUAAUUCAUUAAAAAAAUUAUUUAAUAUAAUAAUCCUAAAGAUUGUCUGAAAGCAGUAAUUACCAAAACCUAACAAUGAUUGAAUGCAUAAUUAAUUAUAUAUAUGGGAAACAUUGAAUAACUGAAUUUCUUCCAUCUUUUUCAAUUGUCUUUGGAUUUACUUUAAUUACAGCACCAAUUAGGCGAAAACCCAAAGGGUCAGUAACACAAAACAAUGUGGAAGUCCUGCCUUGAAUACCAUACACAAGUUGCCUCUUGCUUUUUCUUUGGAUAAGUAAUUAAUUUAGAAGAGAAAGGUUGCAAAAAUAAGAUAGAAUGAAAUAUUAUUUGUUAUCCUCUGCACCAACAUAAGCAUUAAAUUGAAACCUACAGAAUAACAAUCGGUUCAUUCAAACUCACAGCAAUUCAUUUCUAAAAUGCAUUUGGUCAUUAGAUUCAAUUAUCUAUGAAAAAAAAUACAAAUUAAUCUCAAGAAUAACUUGGCAAAAAUGAGGCAAUGUUUGCUGGUAGAAAUUUCAAAACAUGAUGGCUCGAAUGUGAAUCUUCUCCUAUCUUCCCUUUUAAGAAUAGUUUUCUUAAUUUAUGUUCAAGUUAUUAAUAAUGCACCAACCCAGAAGAAAAACAGCCAAUUGGGUUAAAGUCAAAGAAAAGAAAAACUGUAGCAUAAUUAAUAAGUAUUAUAUAUCAUCACUGAAUUUAUUAAUAUCUUUGGUAAAAAUAUUACGAUUUACAUUUAAAGUUACAUAUAUUUGUCUUUGGAUAAACACUCAAUUAUUUUUUGCAUAUAAUUAGCUUAACACUUAUGUUUUAUACGCCAACUAAGGUGAGAUUAGGGAAACCAAGUCCUCAUCUAGCUUAAUGGCAGUUACUAGGUAGUUUCUGUAAUGAACCACUUCUAAGUAAUAUAAUUACAUGCUUUUCAAAAAAAAGUAAUAUAAUUACAUAUAUUUAUCAUUAAAUUAAAUAUUCAGGUUUUUUUAAAAAAAAAUUAGGAUCUAAAUGGUGAAUGCAAAAGAAAAAGCUCUUUUCUUUGUACCUUCUUUCCCACCAAUUUUGUGGUAUAUGCUAUUGUAGUGCGGGCUACUCCCACUGCUCUUAAAGAAAAAAGCAACGAAAAAGAUCAAUCAAGACUCCUGAAUACACAAAGAGACAUUGCAUCACUAGGAAUGAAGAGGAGAUGAAGUGAUACUCAUGAUUCAUCUCAAGAAAUCACCCAUAAUUAGAUCAAAGGAACCAGUUCUACAAGGACCUAGUCAAUCAAAGGGGAAGGACCUAGUCAAUCAAAGGGGGAGGAGAGAAGAAACUAGUAAGCAUUAAAGCCUACAACAUAACAUGUAAAGCUUAAAAGAUAUGAUAUGAUUAUAUAACAUAUCAAAAUGCCAGUACUCAAUUGUUACCUCCAUAAGCAUUAAAUUGGAGUCUACAAAAUAACAAUCGAUUCAUUCAAACUCACAGCAAUUUAUUUCUAAAAAGCACUUGGUCAUUAGAUUCAAUUAUCCAGAAAAGAAAUACUGAUUAAACUUUCAAACAAUCAAAAAGCAAAUCCAGAUGAUCCCCCAUGUUGCUCCUAUUGGUAGAGUAUAUUUCAGAGCUGAUUAGAUUUACCUACACCAAGAAGAAAAUGGCAUCAUCUCUUAUGAAAAGAAUAGACCCCAAUCAAAACAAAAAAGAUUAUCAUAGAAAUAUCUAACUCACAUACAAUUACUUUCAGUUGAGGAUUGACAUUGCAAAAUUAGAGUUUUUAACCUUCCCACGUAUCACUUAUUUGGAUGGAGGGAAUGUGGCGCACUUUAGAGAAAUCCUCUCAUUCUCUUCUGUCUAUCACUUGAAUCCUCUCUACCAAUGACCUCUUCAUUCUGUAUAAUUCCAUUUCCUGGAGAGCAAUAACACACCUCAACCCUUUUGGAAAAAUCCUCAAAUUUGGAACCAAACUCAGACUUAAACUCCGAAGACGUGGCAUUGCGCCUUCUUCUAUCUGCCACUCUUUUAAUUCUUCUAACUCCCAAAUACCAAGACAAUCAAGUUGAAGAAAAUCGUUGGCAGAGCAAACCAGUUUAGUCCCCUUAUAUGAGAGAGUUGAUAAUUGGAGAGUCCUCAAAUGAGGCAGCUUUCCCAAUACAUCCAUUGGAUCCUGCUUCAUCUCACAAUCCCACAAAGUCAACUUGACAAUGUUUGCCGGAAAAAAUUUCAAAAUAUGAUGGCUCAAAUGUGGAUCUUCUCGUAGCUUCCCUCUUAAGAAUAGUUUUGAUAGGUGAUGGCAAUGAGAAAGGGGUUCCAAGUCUAGGUAUGGGAUUGAAUCCUCUAACCGCAUGUACAAUGACCCAGGGCAUUGUGAUUCAAUCAGUGCUUUUAGGAUAGGCUCCACAUCUUUUGAUCUCUCAAAAGUUAUUCCUAAACUCUGAAUAUUUGUCCAGUCGAGCACUGCAUUAUUUUCAAUUAAACUCUUGCACCUUAUGUACUUUAAAAUUUCAAUAUUUUUUAAAGUACCUCUUCGCGGCAAAUGCAAAUAUAAACUUACUAUAAUAUGCCUUAAGCGUCUCAACUUGAAUAAAACAUCAGGAAUUCUUGGUGCUUCAUUUGGGAGGUAUAAAGUGUGUAAACACUUCAACUUGCCAAUAGAUCAUGACAAGAUGAUGCUUCUUGGACAUUGCAACUUCAAAUUCCUCAAAUGAUAUAGAUUACCAAUCACACUUGACACAAGUCAGUUAAACAUGUUCUUUCUCCCAAGAUUCAACACCGUUAAGAAUUUGAAAUCAUUGCAUUUUGAAACGUGCAAUUCUAUCAAUUUUCGUUUUGAAGGAACAAAAGAGAACAUAAAUUUGAAUGUUUUCCCUUCAAAGAAACAUACCUUUUGCUAGGAAGAAUAGCAAUUCUUCGUGCCAUAGAUGGUGUCAAGGUCACAUGAAGAGUAUUACCAUCGUUUUUGAUUAAUGAUGGCUGAAUAAUUUCUAAGAAAUUCUCCUCUCGAGCUUUUAGCACGCACAAGUCCCUCAAGAGAUCAUGUAUGUGACAUGUUUUCACACCUGUUCCUAUAUGGUCCCUCUUGCCAUAUUGAACCAAACAUUUAUUUAUUAGCUUUUCUAGGAAUUGUUAAGCUACAUCCUCCAUCAACAUUCCCCCACAUUCCCAUGAUGGUGAAAUGAAACUUUCUGCAAUCCAUAAUCGAAUGAGUUCCUUUUUUAAGAUCUCCCAAUCUUCUAGAUAAUGGUCAAGAUAUAGGAAGCAUGGUUUUGAAUGAAAAGGCAACUCAUUGUAGCUUAAAGUCAAAAUCCCAUUCACUCCACCAUAAUGAUGUUCUUGUUGUUGAAACUCGUUUAAGUGUGCAUUGAUAUUUUGAUUACAAAUCUCCCAUUGAGCUUGUGACCUUUUUGUUGCUAGCAAGCCUCCCAACAUAAUAAUUGCCAAAGGUAGACCUCCACUUUUUUCACCAUCUCUCUUCCUAGCAACUCCAAUUCUUUUGCGCAAGCAUGAAACUUUGUCUUCUUUCUUGGGAAUGGUUUCAUUCUAAAAAGCUUCCAACUCUCAACAUCUGUAAGAAAUUGAAGCUCUAUUGAAAAGUUGCAAGGAUUGACAUGUAACGCCACUUUCUUGUGGUACGUUGUGAAUAAAAUUUUCCUUCUUUUUUUUCCUUGUGGAAAAGCAUGUUUAAGACUAUUCCAAUGCUCUUUUCUCCCCAUAUCAUUAAGGAUCACCAAGUAUCGUUUUUCUUUUAAAAAACCAUAAACCUUUUCCAUCCACUCAUUCUCUUCCAGUUUAUCAAUUAACUCCCUUUCUUCUUUAGAAGGAGAGAGAAGUUUUAUGCGGAGACCAUGCAAAACUUCUCUUAGCAUACAUUGUCGAGAUAUAAAAGCCCAAGCAAAACAAUCAAAAAGUCAUUUCACAUCAAUAUGCUUAUAUACUGUUUUUUUGUAAAAGUGGUCUCACCAAUGCCCCCCAUGCCGACUACCAAAACAACAACAUGAAGUCUAUCUUCUUCAGUCAUCAGGCUGAGCCAAAACUAACAACUCUAUUUCAUAGAGUUAUCUCAUCAGUUUCAGGUGCCAAAAUGAUCACAGUUCUUGAGUUUUUCUAGUAUAAAUUAGUUAUUGUAGUUACUUUUCUUUGAAUUUUACAUAAGCAUGUCAAUUUAAUUUAACUUCUGUCAAUUUAAUCAAUUAGGGAUUAAAAUGUUAAAUUGAGUUGCUAUUGAAUUAGCACUUGCUUAGUAGGAGUAUGAAUGAAGAAAGAAUGUGCAAAGGAUGAUAAGUGCAGAAGUGGAUUGCAUCUACUUUAGUAGUCUAAGCUAAGGGAAAGACCUUCAACAUUCAUGUUGAUUAUGUCGACUAGUUUCAAUCUAAGCGAGGCUAAAAUUCACAAGCAAAAUGGCUUAAUGUAGCAGGAUGAAGCAUUGAAACAAGGAACAAUAGUAGAAAACAACAAGCACAGCGCUGCAGCGUCUCACUCUCAGCACUGCAGUGUUGCCUAGUACCAUUCUUACAAGGUAGUAGCAUCAGUGCUGCAGCCCCAAGUCUGUAGCACUGCAGCGCUGUCCUUAGCAGCACAAACCCUCCACCAGGCAAUAAGCUUGGCGCUGCAGCGCCAAACUCUCAACACUGUAGUGCUGUCCAGUGAAUCAACAUUGCCUUUGGCAGUGAACUUGGUGCUGCAGCGCCAGAAACUCAACGCUGCAGCGCCAACUUAAAUGAAGAAGUCUGGACCCUUCGAUCUUUCAGAUCAGAGGUAGAGUGCUAUAAAAAGAGGCCUUUUCAGGGCUAAAAAGGGAGAUCGGGGAGAGUAGCUUUUCAGAAAAAUAGAAAAAAGUGAGGGAUUUGGUCUACACAAAAGAGGAAAAGGGAGAAGAGCAGUGAAGGAUUUUCUUGGGAGUUGAAUCAUCCACAUCAGCUUACCUUUCUCAAACUAGUUUCAUCUCUCUUUGUUAUUGUAGAAAUGAACAUUUUUCCUGAGCAUAUUGAGUUUUGUAUUAAAUAUGUUGAACUAGAAUUUUUAAUUUAAAAUUAUGAUGGAUUUCAAUAUGUAGCUUGGCUAUUGUGUUGGUUUAUUGCUUAUUUUUUUUAUGAAAAUAUUGAUAUUUACUCAAAUUGGAGUUUAUUGCCCAUUUAUUUGCUUGAUCACUAUUUAAAUGCAUCUAGGUAUUUAGAUGACACUUGAGAGACUUAGUCUAAAUUAGACCUUGAUUUGGGUAAUGUGUUCAAUACACUUAGAAAGGAAUUUUAAUAUUUUGAUUUGCAAUUAGAGUAGACAUAUAUUUAAUUGCCACAUAUAGUCAAUUUUUAGAACAUUUACUUAAAGAACUUAAUUUAAUUGUUUCCUAUAAACAUAUACUCAUUCAAUUAAGUUAAGCAAUUGUGUAAUAUUUUUACAGAGAAUUACACAUACUUUAAGAUUCUAGACUAACAUCAAUUUUCUUUAAAAUUAAAUAAUUAAGCAAACACAAUUUCAAGUGAAAUAUUAAAGGAUACCAUAAUCGUAGACUAUUAGAGCAUUACUUCCACCUUAAUUUGUUAUUUGCACUCCUUAGAUUAUACUUAGUUAAUUAGAUUACUUUUUAAUCAUUGCUCAAAAUUUGGUACUUGGAUAAAAUUAGUUUAUUUUAAUUUUAAUAAUUAGUAACAACAAUUAAAUCAACUCAUCGAGGGAUCGACAAACUCAAUUUAUUACUAUAUUACUUGUUGUGAUUGUGUGUACUUGCAUGAAAUCUUUUCUUGUAUUUUGCAUUUAAUUUUGAGCAUAUCUGAUAUCACACAAGCAAAAAAAAAGAUUUACACAACAAAAACAUCAUUUGUGAUACCCUCCAAGCUAACAACGUCCUCUACCUUAACAUGUGUUUAUGUUCUUAACCAUUGCUGCAUUUAGCAAAUAGAGCUAGACCCCUCUCCUCCAGAUAUUUGAUCAUAAGCUGGAAGACCCUUAGAAAGGCCAUCAAGCUUAGUCUGGAUUGCUUUGACCUUCAGCUGAUUUUGUUCAGAUGAUUUUUCUUAUAUUUUUAUCAAAUUGGAAGUGAGAAUUGAAUCCCAUAUUAGAAAGAAAUUAGAUAACGGAAAACUGUUAUUCAAAUAGAAAAAAACGAUGAAUUUAAGUAUUUGGUUUAAUGAUAAAUAAUGAGUCUAUUAAAAAAAAUUCUCUUUUAACAAAUCCUAACGAUAUUGAGACCAAAAAACUCAAUGGUGCUACCAUGGGUAUAUGUAAAAAAAAUAUUUUUUUAAAGUAUAUUUAUUAGUCUCGAGAAUCAGUGUGUUAUCCGAAGUCUCUUACUUAAUUGGUUGAAGACUUUUCAUGGUACAAGAACUAGGUUUGGGCAAAGGAAACUUAUACAAUUACAAAAAAUAAUUUCCAUGACCUAACAAUGGUGUUGUUAACUUUGUAUAUAUGCAAUUAAAAUUUUUUUUAUAAAAACUGGUCUAAUUGACUCUUGGCAUUCAAAACUUUCUAUGCAAUUACUAGUUGAUUAUUAGUUAAUGAAUUUCCCUUUUGUCUAUUUUUGGUUGAUUUUUAGUUAUAAAAUACCCUUUGAAAACAAUUGUAUUGACAAGUGUGCAAUUUAAAUUUGCUUUUUGGGUUAGAAGGUAGAAUUUGAUCAUAUAAGUCUUAAGUCAACUACGUACAAUCUUUCCAAGCUACAAGUUGUAACGUAUUCUUUGGGUUAAAAAUUUUCAUUGGUUUUCUUUCAGCUUUAAAAUGUCAAUUCAUAAUCGAAUCAAACUUUGUUUUUAAUUUUCUUUUAUUAUAAGAAAUUGGGAUGUUAGAAACGGAUUGAAUCAUCUAACUAAACAUGAGCUCAAAGAUUUGUCCCAAAUAAAUCACAUACAUAUCUAGAUCUUUGUUGACAUAAGGAGGUUUACCCAAAAGAAUUGCUUGCAACUACUCCAUCUAGAAAUGAUCAUAAUCCAGAGAAUCUUGCGCUAGAUGCUUGGUUUUCAAUUUUGACCAUGUCAAUUGACAAAUUGGAUGUCCCUUAUCUUGGGUUUUUCUAUUUUUUUUUAUGGUUAAAUUCAUAUCUUGGGUCAUUAACCAUAAUAUAAUUUGUCAAUUGUCAUGGAAAAGAAAUUGAAAUUGUGAUUUUUCCUACAUUUUUAUCAAAUUGGAAGUGGAAAUUAAAACCCAUAUUAGAAAGAAAGAUCAUAAUGGAGAGUUGUUCAAAUAGAAAAAAAAAGUAUUUCUUAAUUAAAAAUUGAAAGACUUGCCUAUAUAAUGAAUCUUAGAUAGGUACAGUAAACAAAAUUAAUGCUAUGAAUAAUGUUCAAUGUAAAAUAAAUAAAAUUGAUUGAUAGUUUACUGUUACUGUUAUGAAUUUUAAUGCAUUUUAAAAAAUAAAUUAUUUAAUAUAAUAAACUUAAAGAGUGUCUUAAAGUAGUAAUUACCAAAACCUAACAAUGAUUGAAUGCAUAGUUAUUUAUAUAUACUUAGCAAAUAUUUAUGAUUCCCUUGUCACAUUGAAUAACUCAAUUUUCUUCCAUCCUUUUCAAUUUCUUUGGAUUUACUUUAAUUGCAGCACAAUUAAGCAAAAACCCAAAGCUUCAAUAACACAAAACAAUGUGCAACUAUACACAAGUUGUCCCUUUGUUUAAUCUUCUGUUUUUUUUUCUUUGGAUAAGCAAAUAAUCUAGAAGUAAAAGGUUGCAAAAAUAAGAUAGAAUGAAAUAUUUUUUGUUUUUUUACCCAUAUUAUCGUUUUAUAUAUAAAUGAAAUUAUGUAUUAUCUCGUCACAAGAUAUUUAUUUAGUGUUUUUUUUAUCAAUGCAUUUUCUUUAUUUAGAGAAAAGAAAAAUCAAAUCCAAUUCUUUGAAUAAGUGUACAUACAGCUUUCAAAAAAAUACAUACAUAUUUACUAUUAAAUGAAAUAAUCAAAUAUCUCUUUUGUCAAAUAAAGAUAUGAUUAUAUAAUAUCAAAGUGCUAAAUAUUAUUGAAAAAAGACUGAUACAUUAAUUCAUCUCAAAGCUAAUACAAUAAACAAGAAAAAAAAUCUCUAAAAAGAACAAAACAUAGAAAUAAAAUUCAGAAAACAAGACUUUCAAUAGCUUUUGCCUUUAAGUACUAGCAAACAAAUGGAUAAUCUUCACUUGUGAAUAUCUAUAAUUAACUAAUAAUCGGUUCAUUCAAAUUCACAGCAAUUCAUUUAUAAAAAGCACUUGAUCAUUAGAUUCAGUUAUCAAAGAAAAAAUACAAAUUAAACUUUUGAACAAUCAAAAAGCAAAUCCAAGUGAUCCCCCUUGCUGCCUUUAUUGGCAGAGUACAUUUCUGGGCCGAUUAGAGUUACCUACAUCAAGAAGAAAAUGGCAUCAUCUCUUAUGAAAAGGAUAGACCCCAAUCAAAACCAAAAAAAAAAAAUUAUCAUAUAAAUAUCGAAGUCACCUGCAACCACUUUGAGUUGAGGAUUUGACAUUGCAAAAUUAGAGCUUUCAGUCCUUCUCUGUAUGCAUUAUUCGGAUGGAGGGUAUGUGGCACACUUUAAAGAAAUCCUCUCCUUCUCUUCCUUCUAUCACUUGAAUCCUUUCUACUAAUGACCUCUUCAUUCUCUCUAAUUUCAUUUCUUGGAGAGCAGUAAUAUACCUCAACCCUUCUGGAAAAAUCUUCAAAUUUGAAACCCAGCCCAGAAUUAAAAUCCGAAGAUGUUGCAUUGCGCCGUCUUCUAUCUGCCACUCUUCUAAUUCUGGUAGAUUCCAAAUUUGAAGAAAAUCAAGUUGAAGAAAAUCAUUCGCUGAGCAAACCAUUUUAAUCCCCGAAUAUGAGUAAGCAAAUAAGCAAAGAGUCCUCAAAUGUGGCAACUUUCCCAAUACAGCCAUUGGAUCCUGCUUUAUCUUACAACCUAUCAAAGAUAACUUGAUAAUGUUUGCUGGCAGAAAUUUCAAAAGAUGAUGGCUCGAAUGUGGAUCUUCUUGUAACUUCCCUCUUAAAAAUAGUUUUGAUAGGUGAUGGCAAUGAGAAAGGGGUUCCAUGUCUGGAUAUGGGAUUGAAUCCUCCAACCACAUGUACAAUGACCUAAGGCGUUGUGAUUCAAUCAGUGCUUUUAUGAUAGGCUCCACAUCUUUUGAUCUCUCAAAACUUAUUCCUAAACUCCGAAUAUUACUCAAGUCGAGCACUGCAUUAUUUUCAAUUAAACUCUUGCCCUUUAUGUACUUUAAAGUUUCAAUAUUUUUUAAAGUAUCCCUCAGCAACAAAGGCACAUAUGUACGUAGACCGCCUACUGCAAUAUGCCUUAAGCGUCUCAACUUGAAAAAAACAUCAGGAAUUCUUGAUGCUUGAUAUAGGAGGUAUAAAGUGUGUAAAUUCUUCAACUUGCCAAUAGACCGUGGCAAGAUGAUGGUUCCAGUAGAUCUCAACCUCAAAUACCUCAAAUGAUGUAGAUUACCAAUUUCACUUGACACAUGCCACUUGGACAACAUAUCAUUUCUCGCAAGAUUCAACACCCUUAAGAAUUUGAAAUCAUUGCAUUUUGAAAUGUGCAAUUCUAUCAAUUUCUCAUUUUGGAAGAGCAAAAGAGAACGUAAAUUUGGAUGUUUUCCCUUCAAAGAGACAUACCUUUUGCUAGGAUGAAUAGCAAUUCUUCGUGCCAUAGAUGGUGUCAAGGUCACAUGAAGAGUAUUACCAUAUUUUUCGAUCAAUGAUGGCCGAAUGAUUUCUAAGAAAUUUUCCUCUCGAGCUUUUAGCACACACAAGUCCCUCAAGAGAUCAUGUACGUGACAUGUUUUCACACCUAUUCCUGUAUGGUCCCUCUUGCCAACUUGAACCAAACAUCUAUUUAUUAGCUCUUCUAGGAAUUGUUCAGCUAAAUCCUCCAUCAACAUUCCCCCACUUUCCCAUGAUGGUGAAAUGAAACCUUCUGCAAUCCAUAAUCGUAUGAGUUCCUUCUUUGAAAUCUCCCAAUCUUCUGGAUAAUUGCUAAGAUAUAGGAAACAUGGUUUUAAAUGAAAGGGCAACUCAUUAUAACUUAAAACCAAAAUCCAAUUCACUCCACCAUAAUGAUGAUCUUGUUGUUGAAACUCGUUUAAGUGUGCAUUGAUAUUUUGGUGAACCGUCUCCCAUUGAGCUCGUGACCUUUUUGUUGCUAGCAAGCCUCCCAACGUAGCAAUUGCCAAAGGUAGACCUCCACAUUUUUCCACCAUGUCUCUUCCUAGCAUCUCCAAUUCUUUUGCGCAAGCAUGUAACUCUGUCUUCUUUCCUGGGAAUGCUUUCAUUCUAAAAAGCUUCCAACUCUCAUCAUCUGUAAGACAUUGAAGCUCUAUUGGGGAGUUGCAAGGAUCGGCAUGUAACGCCACUUCCUUGUUGCGUGUUGUGAAUAAAAUUUUGCUUCCCUCUUUUCCUCGUGGAAAAGCAUGUUUAAGACUAUUCCAAUGCUCUUUUCUCCAAAUAUCAUCAAAGACCACCAAGUAUCGUUUUUCUUUUAAAAAAUCAUAAACCUUUUCCAUCAACUCGUUCUCUUCCAGUUUAUCAAUUAACUCCCUUUCUUCUUUAGAAGGAGAGAGAAGUUUUAUGAGGAGACCUUGCAAAACUUGUCUUAGCAUACAUUGUUGAGAUAUAAAAGCCCAAGCACAACAAUCAAAACGUCGUUUCACAUCAAUAUGCUUAUAUACUUUUUUUGCGAGAGUGGUCUUACCAAUGCCCCCCAUGCCAACAAUUGAAACAACAACAUGAAGUCUAUCUUCUUCGGUCAUCAACUGAGCCAAAACCUCAUUUGUGAUACACUCCAAGCUAACAAGAUCCUCUUCCUCAACAUGUAUAUAUGUUCUUCUUAACUGCUGCUGCAUCUUGGCAAUAGAGCUAGACCCCUCUCCACUCGAUAUCUGAUUAUAAGUUGGAAGACCCUUAGAAAGGCCUUCAAGCUUAGUCUGGAUUGCUUUGACCUUCACCCCGAUUUUGUACAGAUGAAAAGGCUUGGUGAAUCUCUUGAUGAUUCCAUGAAAGCCUCCUUGAUGUGCAAAUCGAAGAAUGAAGUUGUCAAUAACAUCUUCUGCUUCAUAAGCAAGAUCUCUGAUUUGUCUCACCAAAGUGCGGGUAAGCUCAUUUUGGUCUUGCUUCUUAUUGUCUGCAUCCUUCAAGGAGCUCUUCAUCCGCUCCAGUUCAGCCUUUAAGUCCUCCACUUCCUCACGAACUCCAAGCAAGAAAACAGCUUCAUGAAUGAGUAAAUCGGAUAUUCUUUCAAUAGCUAAGGACACAAUAGCCUGUUCCAUUUCUGCUGUUGAUUCAAAGUACUCUUCUCUUUUCAAGGAUCUCAGUAUUAGCUGGGCCUCACUUGGAAGACAAUGAAGCAAAGGCUGGUGCUAAGUAGGAGCACAAAGGGAGCUUCAACUUCAUUUCUUGAUUAAUCUCAACAUAUCACCACCAACAAGAUACAAGGAACUACUUACUAGGACCUAUUCAAUCAAAAUAAGGAAAUCAUAAAAACCCAAGAGAAGCACAAGAGACGUAGGUGUAACCACCAAAAGCAUACAAAGUAACCCCUUUUCUUUUACAGCUAAGCCAUGACCUCAAUACGUUUUGAAUUACACCCUGCCGACUUAUCAAAUAUUCAACUAAUUUACAGCCACAAUGACAUAUUAUCUACCUCGAUUUAAUUAGUUUAUUAUUGGAGACUUGUCAGAUAUAAUAUGGCCUGUACAAUUUUUUUUAAAGGGCCAAAUUGGCUUAUUCAAAUUCAACUCUUUCUUGCUUCAAUAAUAGUAGUAAUUAUAAAUUCGUAACAUAAAUUCGUAAAUAAACAAACAAAUUUAUCAUCAUCAUUCAAUGGAGUACUGGUCUGGAAGGAGCCAUAGUCAACUUAUGACUCAAACCAGCUUACAUGGGUCCACUUUUUUUGGUAAAAUUUUCAUUACAAAAUCAAAUAAAUUUUUAUAUUUCAUAAUCAAUUAAUAAUUAUUAAUUAAAAUAUUAUGUAUUAUUUUUAUAUUUAUAUAAUGCUUAUGUAGUAUUGACGUGAAAGGUGAAAAUAUACAUAAUCAUUUUAAUAUGUUAUAUCAAUAUGGUACGUCAUCAUUCAUUAUUAUAUAUCAAUAUAUUACGUAACACAAAAUGAUAAAUGAUAUUUUCAUUACAGCUACUAAUUAAUUAUUAAUUAUAAAAAUAUAUAUUAUGACAUAUCAGUAUGUCAUGUCAAUAUCAUAUUAUAUAAAAAAAUAAAUAAUAUUCAUUUAACAAAGCAUUAAACAUAUAAAAAUAUUCAACUAAUUGACAGCAAAAAGGACAUAUUAUCUAUCUCGAUUUAGUUAGUUUAUUACAGAGGAAACCUUAAUUAUUUUUUGACUUGGGUACUAUGUGGAUUGGUGAAGGCAUUCAUGAAGAAAGGAGUUUUAUGUUAUGAUUGUUCCUCGUCAGUUAUUCAUUUUAGAAAUCCUUUCAUGGAGAUAUGAGGAACUUUCGUCUUGAAAUUUUAAUAGUAGCAAUUAGCAAAGGAUAAUUCAUUGAAUACUACUUAUUUUUUAGAGUAUUACUCUGUUUUAAGAAGGUCCAAUCCUCAUUUAUGCAGGAAAACAGCUUCAUGAAUGUGUAAAUCCGAUAUUCUUUCAAUAGCUAAGGAUAUAAUAGUCUCUUCCAUUUCUCUUGCUGAUUCAACUUACUUUUCUUUUCUAGGAUUUAAAACUGAUCCGCCUGUUUCUUCCAUAUGUAUAAAUUACAAUUUGUGACUUGGAAGUUGGUUCAUGAUAUAAAUUACACUUGUCAAAGAAUGAGAAACAUAAUGUAAAAAAUUAACCUUGCCGGUAAAGACACAAUAAUUUUUUUUAAUUAUAGUAUAUUUUUCGUGAUUAUUGUUCAUUAAAUAAUAUUUGCACGUUAUCAUAUUACCGAGAAAUUAAAUUGUGUUAUAAAAGAUUUAUUUUACGUUUUUUUGUUAAAUAAUUUUUUCUAUUUAAAAAUAAAAUUCUAAUCCAACUCUUUGAAAUAGAUAUGUUUAUUAUUUGAACCAAAAUUCUUACGAAGAAGUUAGGGCUCUGAGCUUUUUUUUUAUACUAAUGCAAAAGCCAAAGCUCUUUCCCUUGUACCUUGUUUUCCACAAACUUUCUCAUAUAUGCUUAUUGUGGUGUGAGCUAAUGCCACUUCUUUUAAAAAGGGAGAAGAAAAAGAUCCAUAAUAUGGCCGACAUGGAAGAUUAAAUAAAAAAAGAAUAUUAUUUUUUGUCAAACCGAGAGGAAUUUUGGAGGAAACUAACAUCAAACAUGUUCUAAGUAUUGGUGAUUGUAGUGAGGGCUACUACCACUUCUUCUUUUUUUAAACAAAAUCAAUAAAAUUCCCGACUAAAAAGGUUAAAUUAAAAAGAAUAUAUGUUAAAUCAACACCAAAAAUCGAAGUUACUAUGUUUGAAAAGACUAAUAUAGAACAUGGUAUUGGUGGUAGCCUUUUUCUCUCAAUUAUUUAUGUUAAACUCUUUCUAAAGCUUAGCCUAUAUUAACCAAAGAGCUCAACCAGAAGACAGACGAGACAAAGACAUGAUGAACAAGGAACACAAGCAGCACACCACCAGGUUCAUAACAUUUCCUUAACUACCAUCACAGAGGAACAGAGGCAGGGAGAUGCUCCGAAUAUAACAACACAGACAACAUGGCAACUCCAAAGCAAAAAUGUCCAAACCAAUCAAAAGAGGAAAUCAUCCCACUGAAAACGAAAAAGCAGAUCAGGAGUUGAUCAGCUCUUAAUCCUUGGAAAAUUAAGUGAUUGUUUCAUACCAUUAAUUCAACAACAACAACAAUCAAAAGCAAAUUAAGCUGCCCCCUUGUUGCUCUUAUUAACACGGUUGCAUUUCGUGAUCAAAUAAGGCAUCCAACCUCGGCUCAUAUCAAGUCCCCACCUAUUGUACCCAAACCCAAAUUGUUUAUUUUUAUUACAUUGCUUGCCUACUCCUUUUGGUAAGAUAGUAAAAGAAGAGAAGAUUUGAAUCCAACUCUUUAAAAUUAUUUGAUAAAAGUAUAUUAUAGUAUUAUCUCAAUAAUUUAAAAUAUGGGCACAAACUUUUUGGUACAUAAUUUUACUAUUAAGUUUUAAGAUUAAGAGCAACACACAAAAUGAAAAUAAAGGAUAAAACCUUAAUUAUUUUUCUACUUGGGUUCCAUGUGAAAUGGUGAAGGCAUCCAUGAAGUAGGAGUUUUAUGUUUUGCUUUGAUUUCAUAGUUUUCUUGGGUUAUGAUGGUUCCUCUUAAUUUAUUCAUUUCAAUAAUCAAUUCAUGGAGAUAUGAGGAACCUUCAACACUUACACGCUCUCACAAUUCAUAAAAAGAAAAGACAAAGAGCCUCAUUCAUCCAAAACGCUCAACCAGAAAACACCCGAGACAAAGACAUCAUCAACAAGGAACACAAGCAGCACACCACCAGGUUCAUAACAUUUCCUUAACCAACAUCACAGAGAAACAGAACCAGGGAGAUGCUCCAAAAACAACAACACAAAGACACCACGGCAGCUCCAAAGCAAAAAUGUCCAAACCAAUCAAAAGAGGAAAUCAGCCAAUAGUAAACAUCACAACAACCGUGGCAUCACCAAGCAAACAAAGCCGAAUGAAACCAGAGAGAAGUUUGAAUCAUCCCAUUGAAAACCAAAAAGCAGAGGACUUGAUCACCUCAUAAUCCUUGGAAAUUAUGUAUCCAACCUCACCUCCUAUCAAGUCGCCACCUUAUUGGCACUAAAUGUAUUUCAAUGCCGAUUAGAUUUACCUACACCAAGAAGAAAAUGGCAUCAUCUCCUAAGAAAAGGAUAGAUCCAAAUCAAAACAAAAAAAACAUUACCAUAGAAAUAUGUAACUCACCUGCAACAACUUUGAGUUGAGGAUUUGAAAUUGCAAAAUUAGAGUUUUCAAUCUUCCAGCGUAUCACUUAUUUGGAUGGAGGGUAUGUGGCGCACUUUAGAGAAAUCCUCUCCUUCUCUUCCGUCUAUGACUUGAAUCCUCUCUACCAAUGGCCUCCUAAAGUAUUUUAAUUUCAUUUCUUGAAGAGCAGUAAUAUACCUCAACCCUUCUGGAAACAUCCUCAAAUUAUGAAGCGCCAGAAGAUUUAAACUCUGGAGACGUGGCAUUGCGCCUUCCCCUAUCUGCCACUCUUCUAAUUCGGAUAAAAGCCAAAUAUCAAGAAAUUCAAGUUGAAGAAAGUCAUUGGCAGAGCAAACCAUUUUACUCCCCUCAUAUGAAUUCGAAAGUAAUUUAAGAAUCCUCAAAUUAGGCAGCUUUCCCAAUACAACCAUUGGAUCCUGGUUCAUCUUAGAAAACAACAAAGUUAACUUGACGAUGUUUGCUGGUAGAAAAUUCAAAACAUGAUGGCUCAAAUGCGGAUCUUCUUGUAUCUCUCCGCUUAAGUAUAGUUUUGAGAGGUGAUUGCACUGAGAAAGGGGUUCCAAGUUUGAACAUGUGGUUGAAUCCUCAAAAUCAAUGAACAAUGACGAAAGGCGGUGUGAUUCGAUCAAUGCUCUUAGGAAAGGCUCCACAUCUUUUGAUCUCUCAAAAGUUAUUCCUAAACUCCGAAUAUUAGUCAAGUCGAGCACUGCAUUAUUUUCAAUUAAAGUCAUGACCCUUAUGUACUUUAAAGUCUCGAUAUUUCUUAAAGUAUCUCUUAGCAGCAAAGGCACAUGUCUUGUAAAUACAGCACCUAAUACAAUAUGCCUUAAACGUCUCAACUUGAAUAAAAUAUUAGGAAUUCUUACAUUAGCAUUUGGGAGGUAUAAAGUGUGUAAACUCUUCAACUUGCCAAUAGACCGUGGCAAGAUGAUUUCUGAAGAUUCUAACUUCAAAUACCUCAAAUGAUGUAAAUUACCAAUUUCACUUGGCACAUGCCAUUCGGACACAUCAUUUCUUAACAGAUUCAACACCCUUAAGAAUUUGAAAUCAUUGCAUUUUGAAAUGUGAAAUUUUAUCAAUUCUUCGUUCUGAAAGAGCAAAAGAGUACGUAAGUUUGGAUGCUUUCCUUUCAAAGAAACGUACCUUUUGCUAGGAUGAAUAGCAACUCUUCGUGCCAUUGAUGCUGUCAAAGUCACGUAAAGAGAAGUACUAUCAUUAUCGAUCAAUGAUGGCUGAAUAAUUUCCAAGAAAUUCUCCUCUUGAGCUUUUAGCACGCACAAGUCCUUCAAGAGAUCAUGUAUGCGACAUGUUUUCACACCUGUUCCUGUAUGGUCCCUCUUUCCAACUUGAACCAAACAUCUAUCUAUUAGCUCUUCUAAAUAUUGUUCAGCUACAUCUUCCAUUAGCAUUCCCCUGCUUUCCCAUGAUGGUGAAAUGAAACCUUCAGCAAUCCAUAAUUGAAUGAGUUCCUUUUUUGAGAUCUCCCAAUCUUCUGGAUAAUGGCCAAGAUAUAGGAAGCAAGGUUUUAAAUGAAAUGGCAAUUCAUUGUAGCUUAAAGCCAAAAUCCCAUUCACUCCACCAUAAUGAUGAUCUUGUUGUUGAAACUUGUUUAAGUGUGCAUUGAUAUUUUUGUGAACCAUCUCCCACUGAGCUCGUGACCUUUUUGUUGCUAGCAAGCCUCCCAACGUAGCAAUUGCCAAAGGUAGACCUCCACAUUUUUUUACCAUUUUUCUUCCUAGCAUCUCCAAUUCUUCUAAGCAAGUAUGAAACUCUGUCCUGUUUCCUGGGAAUGCCUUCAUUCUAAAAAGUUUCCAACUUUCAUCAUCUGUAAGGAGUGGAAGCUCUAUUGGGAAGUUGCAAGGAUCAGCAUGUAAGGCCACUUCCUUGUGGCGUGUUGUAAAUAAAAUUUUGCUUCCCCUUUUUCCUCGUGGAAAAGCAGGCUUGAGAAUAUUCCAAUGCUCGUUUCUCCAAAUAUCAUCAAAGACCACCAAGAAUCGUUUUUCUUUCAACAAAUUAUAAACCUUUUCCAUCAACUCGUUCUCUUGCAGUUUAUCAAUUAGCUUCCUUUCUUCUUUAGAAGGAGUGAGAAGUUUUAUGAGGAGAUCAUGCAAAACUUCUCUUGGCAUACAUUGUCGAGAUAUAAAAGCCCAUGCAAAACAAUCAAAAGAUUGUCUCACAUCAAUAUGCUUGUAUACUUUUUUUGCAAGAGUGGUCUUACCAAUGCCCCCCAUGCCGACUAUCGAAACAACGACAUGAGGUCUAUCUGCUUCUGUCAUCAGCUGAGCCAAAACCUCAUUUGUGAUACCUUGCAAGCUAACGACAUCCUCUUCCUCAACAUGUGUAUAUGUUCUCCUUAACCGCUGCUGCAUCUCGAAAAUAGAGCUAGACCCCUCUCCACCAGAUAUCUGAUUAUAAGCUGGAAGAGCCUUAGAAAGACCUUCAAGCUUAGUCUGGAUUGCUUUGACCUUCACCCCGAUUUUGUGCAGAUGAAAAGGCUUGGUGAAUCUCUCGAUUAUUCCAUGAAAGCCUCCUCGAUGUGCUACUUGAAGAAUGAAGGAGUCAAUAACAUCUUCUGCUUCAUAAGCAAGAUCACUGAUUUGUCUCACCAAAGUGCGGGUAAGCUCAUUUUGGUCUGGCUUUUUGUCCGCAUCCUUCAAGGAGCUCUUCAUCCGCUCAAGUUCAGCCUUGAGGCCCUCCACUUCGUCACGAACUCCAAGCAGGAAAACAGCUUCCUGAAUGAGUAAAUCGGAUAUUCUUUCAAUAGCUAAGGACACAAUAGCCUCUUCCAUUUUUGCUGUUGAUUCAAAGUACUCUUCUCUUUUCAAGGAUCUCAGUAUUAGCUGUAGCUGGGUACUUGAACUUGCCUAAAUUGACUAGACACAGGCGCUGGGAGAGAGAGAAAGAAGGGAGGAGAAAUGACAAAGCAGGGUUUUCUUUGAUAGGGUCGAGUAUAAAACCCAACAUUAAGAAAAAGAUAAAAGAAGAAAGAAUUGUUUUAUAUCAAGACUGAGAAAGGCCAGCUGAUCCGGUACCAUCCCAUGAUCCAAUUCAUUAAUCUCAGGGAGGUGUUUUUUGUAUAAUUCAUUCAAAAUAUUUAUGUAAUUUAUCACAUAAUAAUAUUAUUAAAAAAUUACAGCAAUAAUGAUAUGACUAUAGUGAAUAAAAACAAAAAUAUUAAACUAAUGAUAAUUACUAAUGGAUCUUUAUUAUGAAUACAUUGGAUCAUAUUUUUUAAACAAUAUGAUUAUAUAUUAACAUAUUUUAUUAAUAACAUGAAUAUUAAUUUACGUUAAGAUAUCGAAACAAAUAUAAAUAUUUUAGUUUAUUAUCUUUAUCUAAUUCCAGAUCUUACCUUCAUCGUGGUAGCUCUGCCUGGCGUUAAUUAAUUAUAUAUACCAAAACCAACAAGCCCAGAAAGUGACAGCUUUGGCAACACAGACAGCACGGAGAAGUUGCCUCACAUGGGGAGCACAUAGGGAGCUUCCCAUGUGCAUGUGCAUGUGCAUAAUUAAUUAUAUAAACUUUAGUCAAUAUUUAUGAUUCCCAUGUAUCAUUAAAUAACUCAAUUGCAUUUGGAUUUACUUUAUUUGCAGCACAAAUUAAGCAAAAACCCAAAGCUUCAAUAACACAAAACAACGUGGAAGUUCUGGCCUUGAAUCUUUUGUUUAAUCUUCUGGAUAAGCAAUUCCCAUGUAUCAUUCACAACUUGCCUCUUUCUUUAAUCUUUUGUUUGUUUUUUUUUUCUUUGGAUAAGCAAAUUAUUUAGAAGAGAAAGGUAGCAAAGACAAAGACGUGGCAUUGUCCAAAAUUUUGGAUAAUCAGAAGCCUUCAAGUCAAAGAAAAUCCACCGGAAGUGACCCCAAAUCCGGCUGCUCAAGGAGCAUUCAAUGCUUUGUGGAUUGUUGACGAUAAAGGCCAAGCAUGCUUCCAGCCUCUUCUUCUUUUUUUUUUUAUAUAUUUUAAUUUUUAUUUGUUAUUUAUUAUUUAUUUUUUAUUUGGGGAAGGAUAACGGGUGUCUACACAAAUUUGCAAAUGUGAGGCUAAGAGAUUGGUCUUUGACACAUAUAUAGAAAUGCUUAUCAGUUAAUUGAAAAAUGAAGCGGCUAAUUUCUAGCAGAGUUGUCUCUGUACAUCGAGUUCCUUGCGUAACAGAUUACAUAAAUUUUAUACGAAUCCUUCUGCUAAUAUUUUUUUCCCUUCCAUCAUCUUAUUUUGCGCACUCAUAUGGUAACAAUUUUAACAUAAUUUAUGCAGCAAAGAAGCAGAAAAGCAAAGACUCUUCCUAUACCUUAUCUCAUAAGGUAGGAGGUAGGAAUCCCAUAUCUAACAAGAAAGAGUUGACAAUCCGCUUUCUUAGAAUUUCCAGUUUCACCGAGCCCUCUUGCUGUCUCAUUGAGAGUGGAACAAAUAGGAACAACUUCAGAAAAUAGAACUUUAAGUAGCUUUUGCCCUUAAAGUGCUAGCAAACAAUUGGAUAAUCUUCACUUGUGAAAAUCUAAAAUUUGUUAACAAUUGGUUCAUUCAAACUCACAGCAAUUCAUUUGUAAAAAUACAAAUUAAACUUUCAAACAAUCAAAAAGCAAAUCCAAGUGAUCCCCCAUUUUGCUUUUAUUGGCAUAGUACAUUUCUGAGCCAAUUAGAUUUACCUACACCAAGAAGAAAAUGGCAUCAUCUCUUAUGAAAGGAUAGACCCAAAUCAAAACCAAAAAGAUUAUCAUAUAAAUAACUAACUCACCUCCAACUACUUUGACUUGAGGAUUUGAAAUUGCAAAAUUAGAGGUUUCAAUCUUCCUCCGUACCCAUUACUUGGAUGGAGGGUAUGUGGCGCACAUUGGAGAAAUCCUCUCCUUCUCUCCCAUCUAUCACUUGAAUCCUCUCUACCAAUGACCUCUUCAUUUCCAAUAAUAUCAUUUCUUGGAGAGCAGUAAUAUACUUCAACCCUUCUGGAAAACUCCUCAAAUUUGAAAACUUUAACAGCUCUAAACUCCGGAGACGUGGCAUUGCGCCUUUUUCUAUCUGCCACUCUUCUAACUCUUUUAACGGCCCAAUACCAAGAUAAUCAAGUUGAAGAAACUCGUUAGCAGAGCAAACCAUUUUUGUUCCCACAUAUGAGAAACUCUCAAAGAAAAGAGUCCUCAAAUGAGGCAGCUUUCCCAAUACAGCCAUUGGAUCCUGCUUCAUCUCACAAUCCCACAAAGUCAACUUGACAAUGUUUGCCGGCAGAAAUCUCAAACUAUGAUGGCUUGAAUGUGGAUCUUCUUGUAUCUUCCCUCUUAAGAAUAGUUUUGAUAGGUGAUGGCAAUGAGAAAGGGGUUCCAAGUUUGGGUAUGGGAUUGAAUCCUUUAACCACAAGUACAAUGACCCAAGGCGUUGUGAUUUAAUCAGUGCUUUUAGGAUAGGCUCCACAUCUUUUGAUCUCUCAAAACUUAUUCUUAAACUCCGAAUAUUAGUCAAGUCGAGCACUGCAUUAUUUUCAAUUAAAUUCUUGCUCCCUAUGUACUUUAAAGUCUCAAUAUUUUUUAAAGUAUCCCUCAGCAACAAAGGCACAUAUAUAAGUAGAUUGCCUACUACGAUAUGCCUCAAGCGUCUCAACUUGAAUAAAACAUCAGGAAUUCUUGGUACUUCAUUUAUGAGGUAUAAAGUGUGUAAAUUCUUCAACUUGCCAAUAGACCGUGGCAAGAUGAUGGUUCCACCAAAUCUUAACUUCAAAUACCUUAGAUGAUGUAGAUUACCAAUUUCACUUGACACAUUCCACUCGGGCCACACAUCAUUUCUCACAAGAUUUAAUACUCUUAAAAAUUUGAAAUCAUUGCAUUUUGAAAUGUGCAAUUUUAUCAAUUCUUCGUUCUGAAAGAGCAAAAGAGUGCGUAAAUUUGAAUGUUUUCCUUUCAAUGAAACAUACCUUUUGCUAGGAUGAAUAGCAAUUCUUCGUGCCAUAGAUGCUGUCAAAGUCACAUGAAGAGAAUUACCAUCACUUUCGUUCAAUGGUGGCUGAAUAAUUUUUAAGAAAUUCUCCUCUUGAGCUUUUUUCACUCACAAGUCCCUCAAGAGAUCAUGUACGUGACAUGUUUUUACACCUACUCCUGUAUGGUCUCUCUUACCAACUUGAACCAAACAUCUAUUUAUUAGCUGUUCCAGGAAUUGUUCAGCUACAUCCUCCAUCAACAUUUCCCCGCUUUCCCAUGAUGGUGAAAUGAAACCUUCAGCAAUCCAUAAUCGAAUGAGUUCCCUUUUUGAGAUCUCCCAAUCUUCUGGAUAAUGGCCAAGAUAUAAGAAGCACGGUUUUAAAUGAAAAGGCAACUCAGUGUAACUUAAACUCAAAAUCCCAUUCACUUUACCAUAAUCAUCUUGUAGUGGGAAAUUGUUUAAGCGUGCGUUGAUGUUUCUCUGGACCAUCUCCCACUCAGCCCUUGUCUUUUUGGUUGCUAGCAAGCCUCCCAACACAGCAAUUGCCAAAGGUAGACCUCCACAUCUUUUCACCAUCUCUCUUCCUGGCAUUUCCAAUGCUUCUGGACAAACAUGAGACUCUGUCUUGUUUUCUGGGAAUGCUUUCAUUCUAAAAAGCUUCCAACUUUCAUCAUCUGUAAGAAAUGAAAGUUCAGUUGGGGAGCUGCAAGGAUCAGCAUGUACCGCCACGUUCUUGUGGCGUGUUGUGAAUAAAAUUUUGCUCCCCUUUUUCCCUUUUGGAAAAGCAGGUUUAAAUUUAUCCCAAUCGUCGCUUUUCCAAAUAUCAUCCAACACUAUCAAAUAUCGUUUUUCUUUCAAGCCAUCAUAAAGCUUUUUCACCAACUGGGUCUCUACCAGUUUAUCAUCAUCUUGCUCUCGAGGGAGAAGUUUUAUGAGGAGAUCUUGCAAAACUUCUGUUGGCCUACAUUGUUGAGAUAUAAAAGCCCAGGCACAACAAUCAAAAUGUCGUUUCACAUCCAUAUGAUUAUAUACUUUUCUUGCAAGAGUGGUCUUACCAAUGCCCCCCAUGCCGACUACCGAAACAACGACAUGAAGUCUAUCUUCUUCUGUCAUCAACUGCUUCAAAACAUGCCUUGUGAUGCCCUCCAAGCUAACAACAUCCUCUUCUUCAACAUGUGAAUAUGUUCUCCUUAACCCCUGCUGCAUCUCGAAAACAGAGCGAGACCCCUCUGCUCCAGAUAUCCGAUUAUAAGCCAGAAGAUUCUUAGAAAUGCUUUCAAGCUUAGUCUGGAUUGCUUUGACCUCCACCCCGAUUUUGUGCAGACGAGAAGGCUUGGUGAAUCUCUUGAUGAAUCCACGAAAGCCUCCUUGAUGUGCGACUUGAAGAAUGAAGUCGUCAAUAACGUCUUCUGCUUCAUAAGCAAGAUCUCUUAUUUGACUCACCAAAGUGCAGGUAAGCUCAUCUUGGUCUUGCUUCCUGUCCGCAUCAAUCAAGGAGCUCUUCAUCCGCUGCAGUUCAGCCUUGAGGCCUUCCACUUCCUCACGAACUCCAUGCAGGAAAACAGCUUCAUGAAUGAGCAAAUCCGAUAUUCUUUCAAUAGCUAAGGACACAAUAGCCUCUGCCAUUUGCUCUUGCUGAUUCAAGUUACUUCUCUUUUCUAGGAUUUUAAACUGAUCCGCCUGUUUCUACUAUAAGUAUUCUUUUCUCCUUAUUUUUUUUGGGUUUCCGUAUUUCUAUUUCUCCUUAUCAAAAGGUAUGAAAGCGUGUUGUCUAUUUGACAUUGGACAAGAUGUGGGUGUUGUCUACACCCACAUCUUUUAAAAACUAAAAAAAAAAAAAAAAUCAGUGCAUAAAAGAUUUAAUAAAAUGAUUACUGUUUUUGUCAAGCUGAGAGGAAAUAUAGAGGAAGCUAACAUGAAGCAUGUUCCGAGUUCAAGAAGAUAUAUGUAUGUCCAGUAAAUUUUUUGUUAUUAGCACCAAAUCUUAAGCACUUAAUGUUUAUUUAAAUCCUUAAUUAUUCAUUUAAUGAUAUUUACCAUUAUCAUAUCAUUAAAAAUUGAAAUUAUGCGUUAAUCGUAGAAUUGAAUUUGCUACCAACACAAGUUGCCUCUUUCUUUGUUUAGGAUAAGCAAAUAAUUUAGAAGAGAAAGGCUGCAAAAAUAAGAUAGAAUGAAAUAUUAUUUCUUAUCCUCUGCACCAACAUAAGCAUUAAAUUGAAGCCUACAGAAUAACUUGGCAAAAAUGAGGCAAUGUUUGCCGGUAGAAAUUUCAAAACAUGAUGGCUUGAAUGUGGAUCUUCUCGUAUCUUCCCUUUUAAGAAUAGGUUUGUUAAUUUAUGUUCAAGCUAUUAAUAAUGCACCAACCCAGAAGAAAAACAGCCAAAUGGGUUAAAGUCAUAGAACAGAAAAACUGUAGCAUAAUUAAUAAGUAUUAUAUAUCAUCACUGAAUUUAUUAAUUUCUUUUGUAAAAAUAUUACGAUUUACAUUUAAAGUUACAUAUAUUUGUCUUUGGAUAAACACACAAUUAUUUUUGGCAUAUGAUUAGCUUAACACUUGUGUUUUAUACGCCAACUAAGGUGAGAUUAGGGAAACCAAGUCCUCAUCUAGCUUAAUGGCAGUUACUAGGUAGUUUUUGUAAUGAACCACUUCAAAGUAAUAUAAUUACAUAUAUUUAUCAUUAAAUUAAAUAUUCAGGUUUUUUUAAAAAAAAAAUUAGAAUCUAAAUGGUGAAUGCAAAAGAAAAAGCUCUUUUCUUUGUAACUUCUUUCCCUCCAAUUUUGUGGUGUAUGCUAUUGUAGUGUGGGCUACUCCCACUGCUAUUACAGGAAAAAGCAACGAAAAAGAUCAAUCAAGAGUCUUGAAAACACAAAGAGACAUUGCCUCACUAGGAAUGAAGAGGAGAUGAAGUGAUACUCAUGAUUCAUCUCAAGAAAUCACCCAUAAUUAGAUGCAAAGGAACCAUUUCUACAAGGACCUAGUCAAUCAAAGGGGGAGGAGAGAAGAAACUAGUAAGCAUUAAGGCCUACAACAUAACAUAUAAAGCUUAAAUGGUAUGAUAUGAUUAUAUAACAUAUCAAAAUGCCAGUAAUCAAUUUCAAAGCUAUACAUCAUUGAAAAAAGACUGAUACAUUAAUUCAUCUCAAAGCUUACAGUAUCAGCUGUAGCUGGGUACUUGAACUUGCCUAAAUUGACAAGACACAGGCGGUUGGGAGAGAAAGAAAGAAGGGAGCAGAAAUGACAAAUCCGGGUAUUCUUUGUUAGGGUCAAGUACAAAACCCAACAUUAGGAAAAAGAUAAAAGAAGAAAGAAUUGUUUUAUAUCAAGACUGAGAAAGGCCAACUGAUUUGGUACAAUCCCAUGAUCCAAAUCAUUAAUCCCAGGGAGAUGUUUUAUGUAUAAUUCAUUUAAAAUAUUUAUGUAAUUAUUACAUAAUAAUAUUAUUAAAAAAUCACAGCAAUAAUGAUAUAACUAUAGUGAAUAAAAAAAUAUUAAAUUAAUGAUAAUUACUUGUGGAUCUUAAUUAUGAAUAAAUUGAAUCAAAAUUUUUAAACAAUAUGCUUAUAUAUUAACAUAUUUUAUUAGUAACACGGAUAUUAAUUUACGUUAAGAUAUAGAAACAAAUAUAAAUAUUUUAGUUUAUUUUCUUUAUCUAAUUCCAGAUCUUACUUUCAUCGUGGUAACUCCGGCUGGCGUUAAUUAAUUAUAUAUACCUAAACCAAAAAGUCCUGAAAGUGACAGCUUUGGCAACACAGACAGCACGGAGAAGUUGCCUCGCAUGGGGAGCACAUAGGGGGCUUCCCAUGUGCAUGUGCAUGUGCAUAAUUAAUUAUAUAAACUUUAGUCAAUAUUUAUGAUUCCCAUGUAUCAUUGAAUAACUCAAUUGCCUUUGGAUUUACUUUAUUUGCAGCACAAAUUAAGCAAAAACCCAAAGCUUCAAUAACACAAAACAAUGUGGAAAUUCUGCCCUUGAAUCUUUUGUUUAAUCUUCUGGAUAAGCAAUUCCCAUGUACCAUUCACAAGUUGCCUCUUUCUUUAAUCUUUUGUUUGUUUUUUUUUUUCUUUGGAUAAGCAAAUUAUUUAGAAGAGAAAGGUAGCAAAGAUAACAAGAAAUAUAUACUUCCAGCUUAAGUUAACCAACGACCUCCUACAUUUUCCACUAGACAUGGACAACUAACUAUAUAAUAAGUAAAGAAAAAUAACAUUUUAAAGUUGAAUAUAGUUAAUUAAUAGGCUAUCCAAUAGAGUAUCUCAAUUUCAUUGCCCAAGUAUUCACACGUAUAAUAAACAAUAGAAGACGAAACUAAAUGAUUUUCUUUUUUUUUUUUUGUGUAAAAAUUGUUAACAGAGUCUAAAAACUCUUACAACCAAAUCUCAAAAAACUCUUAUUCAUUCAUAUUCUAAUAAAUUAAAUGAUAGGAAGCAUAUAUUAUUUUUUGUUGAUUCAAGCAUUAAUUCAUACAUUCCUUGAGGCGGUACAAUAUAAAUCACAUCCUGAAUUUUAGCUACUACAAGGAAACUCAAUCUGAGUCUUGAGCCGAGAAUAGAGAGAUAGCAAGCAAAAUUGCUUGAGCAUUUUUACUAUGUCACUACUAUCUUAUCUUUUACAAUUUGUAACCUGCAGAUAGGAUCUUCAUAUAAAUUACACUUGUCAAAGAAUGAGAAAUCAUAAUGUACAAUAUUUUUUAAUUAUAUUAUAUUUUUCAUGAUUAUUGUUCAUUAAAUGAUAUUUACGCAUUAUCGUACCAUCAAAAAAUCAAAUUACAUUCUUGUGUCAUGAAAGAUCUAUUUCGUAUUUCUUUUAUCAAAUAAUUUGUUUUAUUUGAAAGAAACUCAAACCUAACUCUUUGAAAUACAUAUAUUUAAUGUUAAGCCAAAAGUUUGGAUAUUCUUUUAGAAAAAGUUAGGGCUCUAAGCAUGUUUUUUUACUAAUGCAAAAGCCAAACCAUUUUUCCUUGUAUUUCUUUGCCACAAACUAUAUCAUGUAUGCUUAGUGUAGAGUGGGGCUACUCCCACUUCUUUUAAAAAAGAAUAUUGUGUUCUGUGAAACCGAGAGGAAAUUUGGAGGAAGCUAAGCUAACAUGAAACAUGUUCCAAGUAUUAUUAUUUUAUACAACAUUAGUGAUCAUGAUUGUAGUGCGGGCUACUUCCAUUUGUUUUUUUUUUUUAAAUAAUAAUAUGGUCAAAAUAGAAGAUUAAAUUAAAAAAAAAAAACUAAGUUUUUGCAAACCGAAGGAAAUUUGGAGGAAGCUAAGCUAACAUGAAACAUGUUCCAAGUAUUAUUAUUUUAUACCCAUUAGUGAUCAUNUAAUAAUAUGGUCAAAAUAGAAGAUUAAAUUAAAAAAAAAAAACUAGUUUUUGUCAAACCGAAGGAAAUUUGGAGGAAGCUAAGCUAACAUGAAACAUGUUCCAAGUAUUAUUAUUUUAUACCCAUUAGUGAUCAUGAUUGUAGUGCGGGCUACUCCCAUUUCUUUUUUUUUUUUUUAAAGAUAAUAUGGCCAAAAUAGAAGAUUAAAUUAAAAAGAAUACAAGCUCUUGUGAAACCAAAAGGAAAUUUGGAGAAAGCUAACAUGAAACAUUUUCCAAGUACGAUUAUUUUAUAUACCGUUAGUGGUCAUGAUUGUAGUGUGGGCUGCUCCCACUUUAUAUAUAUUUUUUUUUUAAAAUCAAUAUUAUGGUCAACAUAGAAUAUUAAAUUAAAAAGAAUACUAGUUUUUGUGAAACUGAGAGGAAAUUUGGAGGAAGCUAACACGAAACGUCUUCCAAGCUACUCCCACUUCUUUUUUUUAAAAAAAAAAUCAACAAUAUAACCAAAAUAGAGGAUUAAAUUAAAAAGAAUACCAGUUUUUGUGAAGCCAAGAGUAAAUUUGGAGGAAGCUAAGCUAACAUGAAACAUGUUCCAAGUAUUAUUAUUUUAUGCACUAUUAGUGGACAUGAUUGUAGUAUAUAUUUUUAAAAAAAAAUCAAUAAUAUGGCCGACUUAGAAGAUUAAAUAAAAAUCAAUAAUAUGGCCGACUUAGAAGAUUAAAUAAAAAUCAAUAAUAUGGUCAAAAAUAUUAGUGACAAAUAAAUAGACAAAUCUAAUAAGUUUCUCUUUUUGAUGUAAAAAUUGUUAAAAAAGUCUAAAACUCGAACCAAAUGCAAAACACUCUUAUUCACUCAUACACUAAAUAAAUUAAAUGAUAAGGAGAAUCAUAUAUCAUUUCUAUUUAGAUUAAAAAAAUGAAAGACAGAACUCUAAUACGAGAAAACGUAGUGUAAGAAAUGAAUCUUUUUGAGCCUAGCUAGCUGUCUCUAGAGUUGUAAAAAUAAUGAGAAAUCAUAAUGUAAGAAAUUAAUCAUGUAUUAUUCAUAAUUAUUGUUCAUUUAACAAUAUUUACCCGUUAUUAUCUCACUAAGAAAUGAGAUUAUGCGUUAUCACAUUAUAAAAUAUUUAUUCCGCGUUUCUUUUGUCAAAUGAUUUUUUUACAUGGAGAAAAGAGAAUUAAUUCAUACCUAAUUAUUUUAAUAAAAAUACAUAUAUUUAUUAUUAAAUUAAAUAUUCAAAAAUUAUUUUGUCAAAAGUUAGGGCUGCGUGCUUUUGGGUGAAAGUAAAAGCAGAAGCUACUUUCCCUGUGCCUUCUUUUUCCACCAAUUUUCUCACAUAUGCUAUUAUAGUGCGGGCUAGCUAACUACUCCCACUUCUUUUUAAAAGGGAGGAGAAAAAGAUCAAUAAUGUCUGACCCACAUGGAAGAUUAAAUAUAAAUGAUUACUGUUUUUGUCAAAUCGAGAGGAAAAUUAGGAGGAACUUAAUCUGAAAUGUGUUAGCAUUGAUUUAAAACCUUCAUUUAUUUGUUUACUUUGGGACUAUGUCAAAUGGUGAAGGCAUCCAUGCAUGAAGAAGCUCUAUAUUUUGCUUUGAUUUAAUAUAUAGUUUUCUUGGGUUAUGAUAGAUGGUUCCUCUUCAUUUAUUCAUUUCAGAAGUCUAUUCAUGGAGAUAUGAGGAACCCUCGUAUUGAAAUUUUAUUUGUAGCAAUUAACAAAGGACAGUUAAUUGAAUACCAUUUACUCUGUUUUAAGAAGGUCCAAUCCUCAAUCUUUAACAAUUUUUGACUUCCACAAAAAAGGCCAUAAAAAUUAUGUAAAUUUUAUUUAAUUAAAAUUAAGUCUUUUUUAGUAUUUAAUCCUGAACUUACAUAAUUUAGUCUCAGUUUCUUCUAUCUUUUUCAAUUGUCUUUGGAUUUACUUCACUUCAUUUGCAGCACAAAAUAGAAAUCAAUCCCUCGAAUAAGAUUGAUGAUAAUUAACAAAUUAAAGAUGAGAUCAUCAAGUGGGGUAUAAUUAAUGAUAAUUAACAAAGCACUAAGACUUCAAAUUAGCAUCGCUGCAUAUGAAAGUGACAGCUUUGGCACCACAGACAGCAUGGAGAAGUUGCCUCCCUCUAGAAAAGACAAUGAACCAAAGGCUGCUGUUUAAUUUUCACGUGAGUAUUCUCAGCGCUAAUUUGUGGAAUCGUUUGACAAAUGGAAAUGUCCCGUGUGAUGAGCUCCAUUCUAGAGAACCAAGCCGAGCUGAUGAAAGAGGUUCAGUCUCUCCCGAAAGAAAAUCAGCAGCUUCGUCAAUUGCUUUGAGUACAAAUGCGCAAAUGUGAGGCUAAGAGAUUGGUCUUUGUGACAUGUAUAGAAAUGCUUCUCAGUUGAUUGAAAAAUGAAACUUCUAAUUUCUACCAGAGUUAUCUCCGUACAUCGAGUUCCCUAUUUCAACUUGCAUGAUAGAUAACAUAAAUCUUCUAUGAAUCCUUCUGAUUAUUUUGUUUUCCCUUUCGUCAUCUUAUUUUGCGCACUAAUAUCGUCAAAAUUUUAACAUAAUAUAAGCAGCAUUUUAGAUAAUUAAAGAAGCAGAAAAAGCAAAGACUCUUCCUCUAUGUUAUCUCAUAAGGUAGGAAUCCUAUAUCUAACAAGAAAGAGUUGACAAGCAGCUGCUUUCUUAGAAUUUCCAGUUUCACCAAGCCCUCUUGCUGUCUCAUUGAGAGUGGAGAAAAUAGGAACAAAAUCAAAAAACAGAACUUUGACUAGCUUUUGCCUUUUAAGUGCUAGCAAACAAAUGGAUAAUGUUCACUUGUGAAAAUCUAAAAUUUAUUAACAAUUGAUUCAUUCAAACUCAGCAAUUUAUUUCCAAAAAUACAACUUAAACUUUCAAACAAUCAAAAAGCAAAAAAUACAAAUUCAACUUUCAAACAAUUGAAAAACAAAUCCAGGUGAUCCCCCAUGUUGCUCUUAUUGGCAUAGUACAUUUCUGAGCCAAUUAGAUUUACCUACACCAAGAAGAAAAUGGCAUCAUCUCUCAUGAAAAGGAUAGACCCAAAUAAAAAAAAAAAUUAUCAUAUAAAUAUCUAACUCACCUCCAACUACUAGGACUUGAGGAUUUGACUUUGCAAAACGAGAGCUUUCAAUCUUCCAACGUACAAUCUAUUUGGAUGGAGGGUAUGUGGCGCACAUUAGAGAAAUCCUCUCCUUCUCUGCCAUCUAUCACUUGAAUCCUCUCUACCAAUGAACUCUUCAAAGAGGAUAAUUUCAUUUCUUGGAGAGCAGUAAUGUACCUCAACCCUUCUGGAAAACUCCUCAAAUUUGGAACUACAGACAGACUUAAACUCCGGAGACAUGGCAUUGCGCCUUUUUCUAUCUGCCACUUUUCUAAUUCUUGUAACGCCACAAUAACAAGACAAUCAAGUUGAAGAAACUCGUUGGCAGAGCAAACUAGUUUAGUCCCCUUAUAUGAGGAAGUCCAUAAUCGGAGAGUCCUCAAAUGAGGCAGCUUUCCCAAUGCAGCCAUUGGAUCCUGCUUCAUCUCACAUUCCCACAAUGUCAACUUGGCAAUGUUUGCUGGCAAAAUUUUCAAACUAUGAUGGCUCAAAUGUGGAUCUUCUCGUAUCUUCCCUCUUAAUAAUAGUUUUGAUAGGUGAUGGCAACGAGAAAGGGGUUCCAAGUCUGGGUAUGGGAUUGAAUCCUCUAACCACAUGUACAAUGACUCAAGGCGUUGUGAUUGAAUCAAUGCUUUUAGGAUAAGCUCCACAUCUUUUGAUCUCUCAAAACUUAUUCCUAAACUCCCAAUAUUAGUCAAGUCGAGCACUGCAUUAUUUUCAAUUAAACUCUUACUCCUUAUGUACUUUAAAGUUUCAAUAUUUUUUAAAGUAUCCCUCAGCAACAAAGGCUCAUAAACAUAAAUAUCACCUACUACAAUAUGCCUUAAACGUCUCAACUUGAAUAAAACAUCAGGAAUUCUUGAUACUUGAUAUCGGAGGUAUAAAGUGUGUAAAUUCUUCAACUUGCCAAUAGACCGUGGCAAGAUGAUGGUUCCAGCAGAUCUUAACCUCAAAUACCUCAAAUGAUAUAGAUUACCAAUUUCACUUGACACAUGCCACUUGGACAGCAUAUCAUUUCUC
rnacentral:lncRNA from 1 species